CCUAUCUGUUUGCAGAGGUUCAUUGACCAGAAGGUUGGUGCAGGGGAGAGUGUGUUGUGGACUCAACAACAAAUCGAGAGAGGUUUCACAGCUAUUGAGAACCUGAUACAACUAAAAGGAUGCGCCGGGAA